AGCCACAAGUUAACAUUUGUGGUCUAACCUGCCCAAUGUGCAAUUAGAAAGAUGAAUGGCCGCGGUACCCUGACCGUGCUAAGGUAGCGUAAUCAGUUGGCUUUUAAAUGGAGUCAGGAAUGAAUGGAAUAACCGGGUUUAGCUGUCUCCUUCCUAAUCAGUUGAAUUUACUGUUCAAGUGAAAAAGCUUGAAUAAAGAAAAGGGACGAGAAGACCCUUAGAAUUUUUUUUAGUGGGAAAUUUUUUUCUAAUGAUUUUGUUGGGGCGACAUGGAAAUAUAUAAAAACUUUCCUUUGAUACUUGCCGAUUUUGUUAAGUUAGGAUAAAUUACCUGAGGGAUAACAGCAUAAUUCUACAGAUGAGUUUGUGACCUCGAUGUUGGACUAGGGAACUAGCAAGCUAGCCGUUUGUUGUGUGGGUUCUGUUCGAACUUUAAUCCCUA
rnacentral:rRNA from 1 species